AGUCGGACGGGAUUGAGGAGCUUGCUUCUCAUGAGAGUGGCGCACGGGUGCGUAACACGUAUGUAACCUACCUUGUUCAGGGGGAUAGCCUCUCGAAAGAGAGAUUAACACCGCAUAAAAUCAAUUUAUGGCAUCAUAGAAUGAUCAAAUAUUUAUAGGAACAAGAUGGGCAUGCGGAACAUUAGCUAGUUGGUAAGGUAACGGCUUACCRRGGCUACGAUGUUUAGGGGAUCUGAGAGGAUGACCCCCCACACUGGUACUGAGACACGGACCAGACUCCUACGGGAGGCAGCAGUAAGGAAUAUUGGUCAAUGGACGCAAGUCUGAACCAGCCAUGCCGCGUGCAGGAAGACGGCCCUACGGGUUGUAAACUGCUUUUGUACCGGAAUAAACCUUUUCACGUGUGAGAAGCUGAAUGUACGGUAAGAAUAAGGAUCGGCUAACUCCGUGCCAGCAGCCGCGGUAAUACGGAGGAUCCAAGCGUUAUCCGGAUUUAUUGGGUUUAAAGGGUGCGUAGGUGGCCUAUUAAGUCAGGGGUGAAAGACGGUAGCUUAACUAUCGCAGUGCCUUUGAUACUGAUGGGCUUGAAUACACUUGAGGUAGGCGGAAUGUGACAAGUAGCGGUGAAAUGCAUAGAUAUGUCACAGAACACCAAUUGCGAAGGCAGCUUACUAAAGUGUUAUUGACACUGAGGCACGAAAGCGUGGGGGAUCAAACAGGAUUAGAUACCCUGGUAGUCCACGCCCUAAACGAUGAAUACUCGAUGUUGGCGAUAUACGGUCAGCGUCUAAGCGAAAGCGUUAAGUAUUCCACCUGGGGAGUACGCCCGCAAGGGUGAAACUCAAAGGAAUUGACGGGGGCCCGCACAAGCGGA
rnacentral:rRNA from 1 species